GACGAACGCUGGCGGCGUGCCUAAUACAUGCAAGUAGAACGCACAGUUUAUACCGUAGCUUGCUACACCAUAGACUGUGAGUUGCGAACGGGUGAGUAACGCGUAGGUAACCUGCCUGGUAGCGGGGGAUAACUAUUGGAAACGAUAGCUAAUACCGCAUAAUAUUAAUUAUUGCAUGAUAAUUAAUUGAAAGGUGCAAUUGCACCACUACCAGAUGGACCUGCGUUGUAUUAGCUAGUAGGUGAGGUAACGGCUCGCCUAGGCGACGAUACAUAGCCGACCUGAGAGGGUGAUCGGCCACACUGGGACUGAGACACGGCCCAGACUCCUACGGGAGGCAGCAGUAGGGAAUCUUCGGCAAUGGACGAAAGCCUGACCGAGCAACGCCGCGUGAGUGAAGAAGGUUUUCGGAUCGUAAAGCUCUGUUGUAAGAGAAGAACGGGUGUGAGAGUGGAAAGUUCACACUGUGACGGUAUCUUACCAGAAAGGGACGGCUAACUACGUG
rnacentral:rRNA from 1 species